UACAGCAUAUGCACACCCACUGAAGCUAAGCAGGGUUGAGCCUGGUUAGUAGCUGGAUGGGAGACCUUCUGGGAAGACUAGGUUGCUGCUGGAA
rnacentral:rRNA from 1 species